GUGGUGUGGAGGACUCCUUUUCUAUCUAAAACACUUCCAAGAUAAGAAAAUAAAUAAAAUAAAUUAAACCUAAUCUAAUUAGAUCAAAGGUAAUAGGUUAAGACUAGCUCAAAUUCAUUUGAACUAACCUAAUUAGGAACUUGGGUUAAUACAAUGUGCUAGCAUAUCAAAUUUAUCCUUAAGAUUUACAUUAAAUCUUAAUUAAAUUAGAUCAAGAUCAAAUUUCAAAAUAUGUAACCCAUUGGGUUUCAAAUCUAGCCAGCAGUGGACUCAAGCUCUUGACCUAACCUAAUCCGAUUAGA
rnacentral:lncRNA from 1 species